UUUUAAGCCACUGCAUUGAUCCAUCUUUGUCAAUGUACUCCUUUUCGAGUUCUUGGAAUCUUCCAGCCCUUUUGUGCCAUUUCCACCUGUCCACUCGAUGUUUUCGUUCUCUUUUGCUGUAUUGCUCUCUGGUCUGUCUUACAAGUUUUGUUACAGGUGUCAGAUUGUUGCUUUCACUCUCUUGUAAGAGUUUUCUGCCAGUUUGAUGACUGAGGUCUGUUCGGAUAAGGUCUUCUCAUGAUGUUGCGUGACCUUUUUCAUGACUUCUUUAGAACUCUUUAAGUACUGUCCAAUACUUAUUAGCAAUGCUCUGUAGGCCUGAUUGAUUUCAGUUAAGAUCUACACUGCCUUCUCUGCGAAGGAGAUAUAUUCUGUCCAUGCACUGAUUUCUGUACGUGACUUUGUGGAGGGUGAGCAUCUUCCUGGUUUACAUAUUCAACUUAUUCAGCUCACGCUGUGGCCAGUCUGCUAUGCCAAACCCAUAGGUCACCACUGGUACUGCAAGCUUGUUCUUUGGUGCCAACUCUGAUUUACAGAUCUUUUUUAAGUGGUUUUGGUAUUUUUGUGUUGCUUUCUUUCUCAUCUUCUUAUGCUCUAUUGUAGCAUUUUGUUAAAUUCCCAAGUAUUUGUAUGUGGAGUCUUCACUUCAGCCAAAUCUUCAAUGUAGCUCCCUUCAUCCAACUAUAUGUUUUCUGCUGUUCUCUUUUCACCUUUUUUGAAUGUACAUUUAGAGCAUUUAUUCAGUCCAAUUUCCAAAUCAAUGUCUUUGGAAAACUUAUGGACUGCUUCCACAAGCCAACUGAGUCUCUGUUUCAUGUUGACAUAGAUUUUCAAAUCAUCCAUGAACAACGGAUGAUCCACGUUUUUGAUUUUUCCUUCCUCCGCCUCUACUUAAGUCACACCCGAUGUCAUGCUCCUUCAGGAUCUUGUUAAGUGGGUCUAUGAUUAAGCAGAAUAAAAGUGGCGAGAAGCUGUCUCCCUGGAAUAGCCCUCUCUGAACUCAUAUGUCUGGGAUUGUUAUUUGUCCCUCUGUGUGAUUGAGGGUGAUGGUGGUGUUCCACUUGUUCAUUUGUGCUCUCAGGAAAGAUCUUAUUUCCUCAUUGAUGUUGUAGAGUUCUAAGCACCUGAUGAUCCAGGAGUGUGGCACUCUGUCAAAUGCCUUUUUGUAAUCAAUCGCUUCCAAAUUUGUAAUUUCACUUCCUUUUUUUUCAGUAUUUCAUAAUGGAUUUAUUUAUGAAUACCUGGUUUUAAAUUCCUAAUCUUUUCCUUAUACAGCAUUUCUAUUCAUUUUCAACAUAGCCACCAGUAUCAAGAUGUUCAUAAAUUGCAUUGGGUAUAAUUCCUGUCAGUCAUUUAUAUGUUGUUGUUCGGUAAUAGAUGGGUCUGUACUUGUUGGUAGCUGUGUUUCAUUGGUCUUUGGUAGUAGGCUUGUAUUUUUGUCUUGUGUGAAUUAUCAUGUGUCUGUUCAGGUUGCGCUUUUGUCCAAAUCUUCGACCACAUUCAGAACAACCAAAUUGUUUUUGUCCUGUGUGAAUUAUCAUGUGUCUGUUCAGCUUGCUCCUUUGUCCAAAUCUCAGACUACAUUCAGAACAGCUAAAUUGUUUUUGUCCUGUAUGAAUUAUCAUGUGUUUUUUCAGGUAGCUCUUAUACCCAAAUGUUCGACCACAUUCAGAACAGUCAAAUGGUUUCUUUCCUGUCUGAAUUCCCAUGUGUUUGUUCAGAGUGCCCUUCUGUUUCUGUAUUUUACUCCGAUCAGAACAGCUAAAUGGUUUUAUGCUUGCUUGCCUCUUCUUGUAAUGCUCUGAGUUGAUCAUG